CGGGCAGCCCAGCCACUUCAGCCACCGGGCCCCCUUGCGCAGGCGCAAUGACAGCCCACUGGUCCUCAACAGGUCGGGAAGUUUACCGAAAGGGGCCGACUAGACGCAGAGCCGAGGAAGUGCUAAUGCGGGCGAGGGGCCCUAGAUCUUGUGCAAGAUGGUUGGUUACUUGCUCAAGGUCACAUGGCUGGUAAUCUUUACACUGUAUGUGGGGCUUGAACCCACAACGCCAAGAUCAAGAGUUGCACUCUACCGACUAAGCCAAUUAGGCACCCCACAAAUGGAACCCUUAUACACUGCUGUGCAGUGUCAAGGAGGAUAUUUGAACCUGGAUCUCCGUACUCUUGGCCAUUAUACUCUUCUGCUGGCUUCAGACUUACAUGGAAGCUAUGGAACCAUAUGCUCUAUCAAAUAUUAAGAUAAAUCACAAAAGAGAAAGCCAUGAAAUCCAGGAAAAAGGUGGACCAACACAAGAGAGAGAUGAACAUUUCCAGAAUGAAAACUAAAAGAAAUUUUAUUAUAUUAGUUAUGCUGCACCCCUAGACAUCAACCUGUUGCUAAUGGAACUGAAAGUCAGAGGACUCCAAGAGUGACAAGAAAGAGGAGGAGGAGGAAACUGAAAGAUGAUAUUAACAGCUUUGAGUUUUUAUAAACAGUAUGUAUAUAUGUACGUGUGUACAUAUGUAUGUAUUUACUUAUGUAUUUAUAGUAAGCUCUAUGCCCAACAUGGGGCUUAAACUCACCACCCUAAGAUCAAGAGUCAUAUACUCUGCGAACUGAGCCAGCCAUGUACCCCAACAACUUUGACUUUUUUGAAAAAUUCCUUUAAAUAGCUGUUGGAAAGAGUGGUCAGACUUAUCAAAUGAUCAAAGGACACAAAGCAAUUUCUUAACAAGCCACUCACAGUUUAUUCCUCAAAAAUUCCUGGGAGGUAUGAGCAAAUAUCUUAAUUAUCAGUCGGGUUAAUAGUUGGGGGAGGGGGGUGACUCAUUAUUAGCUAGCUGGGAAUGAAAGGACCUGAAGGGAAAGGAUACUAAUGAUGUACCAGAGAUGAAUUUCAUGUACUUUACAUUUCUACCUAGAGGUGGCCAGGUGCAAAACACAACUAGGGCCAACUAGCAAGUCAUACUGGCUAAGUUUGCUAUUAACUGCUGAUGCCCACAACACCCUUAGAGCCUCUCAAUACACUGUUUUAAGGCUUAGGAGUUUUGAACCUUACCAGUGGCUGGGAGAAUGGAUUUACUUACUGACAUGUCCAUUCCAUGAAGUCUUCGUGUUUCCUGAACCAUUACAGUCUCUAAUAUUUUAUAAUACAAAAUUUCCGCAAGUUUUAGUCUGUUUACAGCAAAGUCUAGGGAGGGGAAUAAAAGGGAAAAUAUUUGCUACUGAAAUGUAACUGUUAAGCAUUGAAGGACAAACUUAUAUAAGCUUAAAUCUUAUACAUUAAGAAUAGCAAGGAAGGAAAAAGUUUAAUUUCUACUUUUUUAGGGCCAAUCUAUCUACUUUCAAUGCUGUGUCAACUUUAGUUUUGUCUUCUUACCUAUGUG